rnacentral:misc_RNA from 1 species
UUUCGAAAACAAAAAUCGUUGUUUUUAAAACAAGACAUAAACUUAAGUUUUUCGAGGUCUUCCAAAUCUAAAAAGUUAUGUUGCGUGAUGAAAAAGUUGUUAUACUUUUUAUUUUUUGCACUUGUGGCUUCUGGACUGAUAAUUUUGACCAAUGAUAUCCGGACAUCAGACCACGUGUGUCUUGCGCAGUGGAUUGGUUGGCUGUUCUUCUUGCACCUGACUGUUACCGGUGGUUUCGCUUUCUACAAAUCAAGAAGAUAACAAAUAGCAAUAAUAAAUAGCUAGUGCACAUAAUUAUGCUUGUAAGAAAAACUUCCAUUUGCAGGAUUACUUCUGUAUCUGAUUAUUUAUUCUAGAAUGUGAUGAUAUAUAUUGCAAUAAAAUGUUUUAUAAUAUUUUUUG